GAUGAACGCUGGCGGCGUGCUUAACACAUGCAAGUCGAGCGAAGCACUUUGAAUUUUUCGGAAUGAGAAGUGACUGAGCGGCGGACGGGUGAGUAACGCGUGGGUAACCUGCCUCAUACAGGGGGAUAACCGGCGGAAACGGCGACUAAUACCCCAUAUGAUGUGAUGCUGCAUGGCAUCGCAUUGAAAGAUUCAUCGGUGGCGGAUAGGCUCGCGGGGACAUUAGCUAGACGGCGGGGCAACGGCCCACCGUGGCGACGAUGUCUAGGGGUUCUGAGAGGAAGACCCCCCACACUGGGACUGAGACACGGCCCAG
rnacentral:rRNA from 1 species